rnacentral:lncRNA from 1 species
AACUGAUAUUUAUAUUGACAUUUCUAGCAAUUACCAUUAGCAAGUAGCUCUUCACUGUUAAGUAGCAUAACAUAGCCAUAAACUAACAUAAAUGAAGUAAAGUAUCCACUCAACAUUUUAAGACAGCGAUUGUAAGGUUUCCUUGGCAAAUCCAAGCAUCAGCAAACAAUCUUCAAAUCAAACUAACAAGCUUUUAAAAAUCCAAUUGAUUUUACUACUACACACACAUACCGCGGCUAAUUCGUCGGUGGAGACGAUAGAUGCUGAACAUCCCCGGCGUUCUGCUUCGGCGGCCAAUACGCUCCGCCGCAUCAAGAACGUUUGGCUGUGAUCAUACACUUCUUUGGUUAAACCGCUACGGUCAUACAUAGAAGCCUUUUCUACUCUAGGCAAUACUUGAGACUCCUGCUCGGCCUCGGCGUUUCUUCCCAUCGCCAUCUCUUUCAACAAUCUCCAGACCGGUGGUUUCUUCUCUUCUCCAACCACUAAGAGGCUCAAUUUUUCUUCUUUAAUUAGCUUCUUCCACUAUUCUCCUUUCUCCUUGUCUUUUUCCUUCUAGCCUUCUUAUCUCAACCACAAGCGAACAAGUCAGAGUAUAUAUCUAUACUAGUCUCUCGUUUUCUCUUGACUACUGUCUUCUAACAUUUUAAGACAGCGAUUGUUUUUCCCUCUGUACAUUGUUUCUUUAGGUGGCAUAAUCUUCUUCAAGCUCUUCGUUUUCAAUAUAUGGUCCUUUUGUUUUG